UCGGUCCACGCCUUCCUGGAUUGGGAACACCUGGGCCUCAUCAGACCAGCUGGUAUAUUAGAAGGAGGAGAUCAGCUGUUCAACGCUGGAUUGUUGUGAAGGCUCUAAUUCCCCGGACCCGUCCCCGUGUUUCCCCGUGUGGAGUGUGGAAGGAGUGACUGGUCGCUAGCGGAGAAGAGAGAGGUUGAACUGAGCGUGUGUGUGAUUUUCCCCGUUUUCCCUGGAGCCCUGGACCCCUGCCCCUCACGUCUUGUAUAUAGCACUAACCCCGCACUGUCUGUACAUACACUUGGUGAAGAUCUGUAAAUAAACCGUCUCUGUUUAAACGCUA